rnacentral:misc_RNA from 1 species
GAUGAAGAACGUAGUGAAAUGCGAUAAGUAAUGUGAAUUGCAGAAUUCAGUGAAUCAUCGAAUCUUUGAACGCACCUUGCGCUCUUUGGUAUUCCGAAGAGCAUGCCUGUUUGAGUGUCAUGAAAAUAUCAACCUUGACUUGGGUUUUGUGCUCUAGUCUCGGCUUGGAAUUGGGUGCUUGCCGCUUUUACGAGCGGCUCACCUUAAAUGUAUUAGCUGGAUCUGUCUUUGAGACUUGGUUUGACUUGGCGUAAUAAGUAUUUCGCUAAGGACAUUCUUCGGAGUGGCCUCGUUUCUAGGACGCUUGUCCGCUUUCCAAUACAAGUUCCACCUCGUGGACAUGACUUUUUAUUAUCUGGCCUCAAAUCAGGUAGGACUACCCGCUGACCUUAAGCAUAUCAAUAAGCGGAGGA